rnacentral:rRNA from 1 species
GAUGCCAGCUAGCGAUCCGCCAAAGUUCCUCCGAUGACUUGGUGGGCAGCUUCCGGGAAACCAAAGCAUUUGGGUUCCGGGGGAAGUAUGGUUGCAAAGCUGAAACUUAAAGGAAUUGACGGAAGGGCACCACCAGGAGUGGAGCCUGCGGUUAAAUUUGACUCAACACGGGAAACCUCACCAGGCCCGGACACCGGAAGGAUUGACAGAUUGAGAGCUCUUUCUUGAUUCGGUGGGUGGUGGUGCAUGGCCGUUCUUAGUUGGUGGAGCGAUUUGUCUGGUUAAUUCCGAUAACGAACGAGACUCUAGCCUACUAAAUAGACGUACUUUAUUACCGGCAUCUCAAGGCCCAUCGGCUGUAUUGUUACUGAAUGUUAUUUGUAUAUUUUGUUUCUUAUAUAUAUUUAUAAUAUGUA